AAUCGUCUUCGGGGCGGGGUGAGAUUCCCCACCGGCGGUGACAGUCCGCGAGCUUUGGCACGAUCGGGUGGAAUUCCCGAACCGACAGUACAGUCUGGAUGAAAGAAGAUACGU
rnacentral:ncRNA from 2 species